rnacentral:rRNA from 1 species
UACGAAGGGGGCUAGCGUUGUUCGGAAUUACUGGGCGUAAAGGGCGCGUAGGCGGUACUUCAAGUCAGGCGUGAAAGCCCCGGGCUCAACCUGGGAACCGCGCUUGAGACUGGAGAACUAGAGUUCGGGAGAGGAUGGUGGAAUUCCCAGUGUAGAGGUGAAAUUCGUAGAUAUUGGGAAGAACACCGAUGGCGAAGGCAGCCAUCUGGACCGACACUGACGCUGAGGCGCGAAAGCUAGGGGAGCGAACGG